GCCUUUUUCGGGGACCGGACAGAAGUUUCCUCCGGCCCAGUGAGGCGCUCCAGCGCUUCGGGACAACUUGCGCCGCGUCGUCAGGGGGGGCGCAGUUUCCUGCCCAGGCCCUGGCCGGCUGACGAGCGGCCUUGGCUGCACUUCUCCAGGACAUGUUUCUGAAGACUCCAGGCAACCACUGUUCUAUGUUCUUCGCUUUGGAUUUGAAUUUCUGGACAUACCAUGUAAAUGGAGUCAUAAAAUAUCAGAUGAAUCUGUUCUAGAGUGUUUCUGAGCGAGGCCCUAGAAGCAGAUGGCUGUGGACGUGUAGCAGUGUCGGUGAAAUUUAAAAGAUGAAGGAACUAAGAGGCUCCGUGGCAGUAUGCUGCCAGACUGUGAGGAAUUCUAGGCCACGUGAAGAAACACCUGUGGGUGUUCCAGCUAACAGACUCCUCUGUGGUCCCAGCGAGCAUCCCAUACUAACUGCUAGAUGUGUGAGUGAAGAAGCCAGCAAGGCUAUUCCAAUCCCACUUGUCAUCUGAUGGCAGGUGUGUGAGAGAUCACAGAGAGAGAGAGAGAGAGAGAAAGCGUGAGAGAGCCCAAGCAGGAGGAGCAGCAGGCAGAGGGAG